AAUGAAGCUGAGUAGGGCUGUACAAGGAGUAAGGGACAGUUCUUGAACACGAAGGGUUCUAUAUUCCUUUCUUCGCAUACACUGUGCACAAUACUUCUUGGUUUUAAGGUGCAGAGUUAGACUUUUAACAGCCAUGAAAGACUCCAAAUAAGCCACAUUUAUUCUUAGGUAUUGAAUAAGAUGCUACUCAGGUUCAAAGAGAGUGUCAAGGUCUGUUCUGCUAAGGUGAGAGUCCAGGUUUAACAAUGUUUUCCCAGAAAUAUUUUCUUUCCAAUCCUUCCUGCAAUUUGUCCAACUGAUUCUGUUGCUUCCUUAUUCUUUGGAUAGUUUGUACAACCUGUAUGACUCCUAAUGUCAUGGUGUGGACCUGCAUUUUUCAUGUGCGUCCCCACUCAAUGGCAAAACUCAUUUUUUAUUGGUGAAAAAUUAGUUUUGGAAAAAUUGGAGUCGCCACUUAUUUUAUUUUAUUUUAAAAGAAAAAAUAAAAUAAGACAGAAAACCCUAAAGAAGUGACUCUAUAGUUUUGGAAAAACAAGUCUUGAAAAACCCGAGUUUUGGUCCGGGAAUCAGGUUACCUACUGGGAAGGUACCUCUAAGAGGUAGCACCCCUCUAAGCCCUAAAGAGAUCUCUAUUGACUAAGUCGAGGGAAAAAUGGCAAUUAAUCAAUAUAUUGAAGGUACCUAGGUAGACUAAGGUGAUUUCAAAACUAGCAUGCCAAAAAGAAAUCAAAUCACAAUCACAAAAGAAGGUUAGGAUAUGUAUUUGGACUGCUUCUCAAUCGUUAUCAUAAGAUAUUAAAGUUAGCACAAAAAUAUAGCACACGAGAUAUAUUUAAUCAGAGCAAACCGAAUAGACAUCUAGGCACCUAAGGAUGGAAUCAAACAUAGAUAUGGUUCACAACAACAUGCAUGUUAAUAAAAUUCCAAAAAGUAAGUGAUAAAGAGCAUACCUAGAUAGCAUGCAUAAUUUAUAAGAUUCCUCCAAUGAGUGGUUAGGACAAGUAUAAAUUACAUAAUAUCUUUAUUAUGUCAAAUAUACAAUACGAAAGCCAAAAUUGAGUCAAGGUAAGUCAAAUGACUCCAAAAAUAAAUAAUCGAUUCAAGCAAAGUACAAGAUCAUCAACAUGCAAUUAGAAAAGGGAGCAUCACAAAACAAUGUCUAAAAAAAUAUCUUGGAGUUGAAUUUAAUUACGAAAAAUUUCAGGAAACAACUUCUACACAUCUAGAACAAGAUACCAAAGGCCAAACACUCAUUCACAUGACAAAUUGUAGCAAAGACACCCAAAAGUUCCAGAAGGUCCAGAUUAGGUAAAAAAAAUAGUGACAUGUAUAAACGAAUUUUUAAAAAAAUAAGGGAUCACAUAAAAUUGUACAAAAAAUCACACAUAUUGUUCAAAGUGUCUAUAUCACAUAAAAAAUGAAUCCAGGGUCGGGUAGUACUCAAAAAUAUUUUUAAAACACUCCAGUUAAUCAGAUGUCUAAAAUCCAUCAUGUAUAGUAGGUACGACUUUGAAAAAUCAUAUCUCACUCGAAAAAGCACAUUUUUUUUUAAUAUUUUAUGUGUCUAAGAUCAAUUUCAAGAAGUCUAGAAUUAAGAAAAAAUAUUGAAUUAAAUUUGAAAAGUCAUCUGUUAUUUUAUUUUUAGAAAAAUAUUUCAAGUGUCUAGAAUUGGGUGAAAACAUAGCCCUCCUAAAGACUCGUUUAUAUCUUCUAUUCCAGAAUUGCUUUCUAACUCAAACGAAAUUUUAAAUUCAAGCUUAAGAAGUGAGGAAAAUCAUAAAAGUUUUGGAAUUUUUUUUUUUUUUAUAAAUAAGCACACAAUAGAUUAAGAAACUGAAAAAAGCCACAAGGCAUACAGGGAGUAUACACAAUAGCCUAAACCAAAAGACACAAAAAACAAGCAACCUCACCAGCCCUUAAGUGGACGCUAGCCUCUCCAAAAAGCCUAAGAGUGAAGAGGACUCCUCCCCAAUAUACACUCUAGUCCAACUCCAAAGAUUAUAAAUAAAAGAAUUUUUUUAGCUUCUGAAUAGCUAAAGACCCCCCCCCAAAAGCUAAUAUAUUCCUCACAUUCCAAACCGUCCAAAAAAAUACACAACGGAAUGGAAUUCCAAAUCUUUUUCCUUUUUUCCCCCCACAAAAGGGUCAUUCCAACUAAAUAACACCUCUUUAACUAUCUCUGGGAACACCCACAGAACCCCAAACAAGGUAAGAAUGAUGUCCCAGAGGACCCUGACCACUAUACAGUGUAAAAGAAUAUGAUUUACAAUUUCUUCUUCAUAACCAAACAAAAAACAGCGAUUGGGGAGCUGCCACCCCCAUUUUUGAAGCCUAUCCAGGGUGAGAAUCUUCCCUCAAGUGACCUCCCAAGCAAAAAAAAACAGCUUUGGUUGGAACCUUAUCCACCCAAAUGUUUUUCUUCGGGAAAGCAAAGUUGUUGGGAGCAACCAGUAGAAAAUAAGCAUCCUUAACCCCANAAAAUACNNNNNNNNNNNNNNNNNNNNNNNNNNNNNNNNNNNNNNNNNNNNNNNNNNNNNNNNNNNNNNNNNNNNNNNNNNNNNNNNNNNNNNNNNNNNNNNNNNNNAAAACCCUCAGAGGCUGUUUGGCUACUGAGAAAAUAGAAACGGGAGAGCUUUGUAAAAAUUCUAAGUCUAUAUAUCAAUAUAUCAAUAUCUCAAUAUUUCCAUAAUAUUUGUUACAACGGAUGCAAGGGGAUAUAAAUAGAGAAGUUUUUCCAACCUUCCUAGCUAAGAAAUCUUAUGAUUGGUGGAUUACAAGGAGAAGAAUGGAAAUUUAUACAAAAAUAUCCAAAAGAAAAGAUCUCGUGUGGAGUCGGCAGAAACAGGGGAAAAUUCGCACCAUGCAAGGGGGUGUGCGAAUUUGGAAGGUGUUGUGCGAAAAUUUCGCACACCCCUGGAGCAGUUGUCUUCCAAAGGCCAUAUCUUCCUCAUUUCAGCUCCAAAUUGUACACGGUCAAACUUUGCAUUAAUGAACCAUUAAUGAAAAACGACUACCUUACCUUUCGGGUGCGAGAAAUUUCCAUGGGAUUGCAUCCAAGCCAUCACAUAACAUCCAUACUUUGAGAAACUAAAAGUUUUAGCCAAUCAUCCUUUGAGGAAAAACCCUCAGAGGCUGUUUGGCUACUGAGAAAAUAGAAACGGGAGAGCUCUGUAAAAAUUCUAAGUCUAUAUAUCAAUAUAUCAAUAUCUCAAUAUUUCCAUAAUAUUUGUUACAACGGAUGCAAGGGGAUAUAAAUAGAGAAGUUUUUCCAACCUUCCUAGCUAAGAAAUCUUAUGAUUGGUGGAUUACAAGGAGAAGAAUGGAAAUUUAUACANNNNNNNNNNNNNNNNNNNNNNNNNNNNNNNNNNNNNNNNNNNNNNNNNNNNNNNNNNNNNNNNNNNNNNNNNNNNNNNNNNNNNNNNNNNNNNNNNNNNACCAAAGUGAAUAACUAGGGGAGAUUUGGGACAGCGCUGCAUUGGCACACAAUGAUCAGUCUAGAACUUGAUUUUGGUCCCUUUACCCACUUUAAACUAGAUGUUAUCCCAACACCAGUUUGCCUCAUUCAGAAUCUCCUUCCAAACCCCCACUCCAAAUGUCCCACGAACCUCAUUAGUCCUCCACCCAAGACCCUCUUGGCCAUACUUCACCAACAACACAUUCUUUUAUAGAUUAUCAUUUUCAAAGGCAAAUCUCUAGAUCCAUUUUCCCAGCAAGGCCUUGUUAAGAAGGAUAAUCUUCCUUAAGCCUAGACCACCCUUCUCCUUUUGAGCACACACCUCCUCCCAAUUGAUUAAGUGGACAUUCCUUUCCAAGCUUCCCCCUUCCCAAAGGAAGUCUCUUUGUAAUUUUUCAAGCCUUUUUGUAACAAUCUUGGGCAUUCGAAAAAGGGACAAUUGGUAAAUCGGCAUACUAGCCAGCGUGCUCUUAAUAAGGGUGAUUCUCCCACCUUUGGAAAUAUAUUGUCUUUUCCACAGAGCUAAUCUUCUCCUCAUUCUCUCUUCCACCCCAUCCCACAUAGAAGGAGCCUUGUGAUAGGCUCCUAAGGGCAACCCCAAGUAAACAGUGGGCAAAGACCCCACCCUGCACCCUAGCUCCACUGUCAUUUCAUCAAUCUCUUCCACCUCUUCAAUUGGAAUUAAUUCAGUUUUGGCCAGAUUGAUCCUUAAACCGGAUGUAGCCUCAAACCAAGCCAAUAUCCAACUUAAAAAGGUUAGAUUCUCUUUCCUUGCUUCACAUAAAAUGAUUGUAUCAUCAGUAAAGAGUAAAUGGGAUAUAUUUAACUUCAUCCUACCUCUCCCCCGAAAACUGCAGCCUGAGAUGAACCCCUCAUCAGCAGCCUUUCUUAAGAGUGCACUUAGCACUUCCAUUCCCAAAACAAAAAGGUAAAGAGAAAGAAUGUCUGAUUUGACUCAUGGUAGCUUAGCUUUAAAGGCGUAUCAACAAAAUUUAUACCUUGAAUACUAUUACUAAAGUAGCCAAGCUACUAUAGCAUAGUGGUUCUAGGAUCGUUCACUGGGAAGGGUUUUCGCAAACACAAGUGAUAUUCAAAUUAGGAAAAUAGGUGAUUUUCUUAUGGAUGUUAGCUUUAAAAGAAGAUGUAAAUGUUUUAGAAAGAUUUAAACUAAUCUAAGCUAACAUUAAAGACUAAAAUGAAAGGGUGUAAAAACAAGUUUCUCAAAGAUAGGAUAGCUAUGCUCUGACUCUUAUGCAAAUUGGAAAUCUCAGGAUAGGCUCCUCGCGUUGGGGUUGCAACUAUGGUGAUGCUUGCUUCCCGAACCGGUAUGGAUUUAGCAAAUCAAGUUUUAAUCCUUUAAAAUGACAAAACAGAUGGUAGUAUAUUUCAUCAAUGGUUAUUCACCUUAGACUCCCUUUGAAUGGCUCGUAAGAGAUAACUAAUGGUCUAAAUCCAAAAGCUUACCAAAUAUUGGCAACUCAAAGUCAUUCCAGGUGAUAAACUCACCUUUCAAUGGCCAUUGAAAUUGGUUCUAACGGAUUAAUGCAAAACUUGGAAUUGAAAACCUCACCUUCCAAUAGCUCGUAGGAGAUAACUAAUGGAUAGAAAUCCAAAAGCUUAUCAAGUAUUGGCCGUUGGAAGUUGUCAAAAGGAAAUAAAAACCAAACUUUGCAUUAAUGAACCAUUAAUGAAAAACGACUACCUUACCUUUCGGGUGCGAGAAAUUUCCAUGGGAUUGCAUCCAAGCCAUCACAUAACAUCCAUACUUUGAGAAACUAAAAGUUUUAGCCAAUCAUCCUUUGAGGAAAAACCCUCAGAGGCUGUUUGGCUACUGAGAAAAUAGAAACGGGAGAGCUCUGUAAAAAUUCUAAGUCUAUAUAUCAAUAUAUCAAUAUCUCAAUAUUUCCAUAAUAUUUGUUACAACGGAUGCAAGGGGAUAUAAAUAGAGAAGUUUUUCCAACCUUCCUAGCUAAGAAAUCUUAUGAUUGGUGGAUUACAAGGAGAAGAAUGGAAAUUUAUACAAAAAUAUCCAAAAGAAAAGAUCUCGUGUGGAGUCGGCAGAAACAGGGGAAAAUUCGCACCAUGCAAGGGGGUGUGCGAAUUUGGAAGGUGUUGUGCGAAAAUUUCGAACACCCCUGGAGCAGUUGUCUUCCGAAGGCCAUAUCUUCCUCACAAGCUGAUAUAAACAUGUAAACUUGCCACAAAAUGGUUAAAACCAAUUACUAAGGACCUUAAUGAAUUCAUUGGGUUAAAUGAAUAUGAUUACUACUCAAAGGUGCUUAAAACCAUUAUAAUUAGGUCUACAAAAUAGCACUUUUUGGUAGUAAUCAAGGUCUCCUUGACGCAGCCCCUUGGUACUCGAGAAGAAACCUGUAGGCACCCCAUUGACCAGAACAGAGAAUUUGGCAGUUGAGAUACACCACCAAAUCCACUCCAUCCACCAAGACCCAAAGCCCAUCUUAUGCAAAACCUUCAUAAGAAAAUUCCAAUUUAUGUUGUCAUAAGCUUUUUCAAUGUCCAAUUUACAAAUCAGCCAUUUCUCUUUUCGUUUUUGCCAAAAGUCAAUCCCCUCAUUAGCUAUAAGCGAAGCGUCCAAAAUCUGUCUACCCUUCAUAAAAGCAUUUUGAUCCUUGGAAACCACCUUUCCUAAAACCUUCUUCAGCCUAUUAGUCAACACCUUAGCCAAAAGCUUGUACAGACCCCCUAAGAGGCUAAUGGGCUGACUGAAACGAAAUUUAAAAUGAAAGGGUCAGUGAUUGAGUGGAAACUAACAACAAGAAAGAGUUUUGAAAAAAUGAUUUUAUGUAGGGGUUUCACCAAUUCCCUAAUUGAUAUACACAAAUCAAGCCUAGAAUUAUCCCAUUUAUUUGGUACCACAAGCUUGGAUUCGUAUUCCACUCAAAACCAGAAUUCUUAUUGAAAACAAAGAAAAAUACGAAUCGAUCAAGACAUGGUUGUAUAUUAUUUAAGAAAAUGAGAUUUUGAUUCUAAGUACUCUAAAUGAAUUUUUAAAAUAUAUUUUCAAAGGGAUCUUUUGAGAAAAGUAUUUUAUUUUAAAAUAAAAGAAAUUAAUUUGAAAACAACAAAACAUAAGAAACAAAAAUACCAAGCAAAACAAAAGAAAACAAAAUCACAAAGUAAAUUUUUUGACAAUCAAGCAAACUAAAGUGGUAAGAAUGGAGCCAAAAUUCUCCAUUAUUUCUCCUCUAAACCAAGCAUUACACAACUGCUAUUUCUCAACUAACUCACCACUAAUUCUCACCAUAAAAAAGUAUCCACAAAAGUUCAAUUACAAGGCCAUUGAAUUCCACCGAAAAACUCACAAAUUCAAAUAGGAUCAAUCAAGAACUAAUAUUAAUGACUUUGAAGCAUAAAAUAAAUUAUAUGGGAUAGAUCAAAAUAACGACUAAAUUAGAACCAAUAGACUAAGAUGAGAUUUAGUCAAACUCUUAAGUCUAAAACCAGUCAAACUAAAUACAAUUGGAACCUGGAAUAGAAACAAUGAUAAUCGACAUAAUCAAUCAAACUCCUAAAUUUAAGAUCAAUCCACCUAGAAAAAAAAAAGAAAAGAAAAAAAAAUGAAACUUGGAAUCAUGGAUAAUCAAUAAAAAAUAGUCAAAAUCCACAAUAAAAAUCAAAACUUGGAACCAAAGUCAAUUGAUCACGAAUUCUCAAAUUUAUAAUAUCAUCACACAAUCAACAGAAUAUUGAAACUUGGAAUCAUGGAAUCGAAAUAAAUCCAAAACUAAAAUAUGCAUGCAAUCAUCAACUUGAAAUAAAAAAAUAUUCAUAAACUAAACUUUCAAUCUACCUACUGGGNNNNNNNNNNNNNNNNNNNNNNNNNNNNNNNNNNNNNNNNNNNNNNCCUCAAAAAUCUUUUGUGUUGUGUUAGAAAGAUCUAGAAUGGCACGUGCUAUGUUGCCCUUCAAAACUGAUAAUGCAUGGAUGUUGGAGAAGCCUCAAUGAUGCGUGUUAUGUUGUAGCAGCCCAGAAAUCUGUUAUGCGUGUUUCUCAUAAAUCCUCUCUUGGUGCAUCAAAGUGGCAACUGAAUCUGCUGUCCGAAGUCCCCUGCUGCUCUCCAAAAUCUAUGCAUGCUCUUGGGAGUCCUCCUUUCCUUGUUCUUAUAUUCUUAUUUAUAUGGUAGCCCACUCCUUCUAUGGCUGCGUGAGGAUCCCCAAAAUUGCCCCUAGUACAACCAGUCUGUAGAGAUCUUCUUCUUAUGGGAAGUGGGGAUCUUCUAUGGCAGCCUCUCCCUCAUUGAAUAUUCUGCUUCCUUUUUGAAUGCAUGGGGAUAUGGGUUGUGCAUAUAUGCGUGGCUUACUUGGAGAUUUCCUCAAGGAUGCAACCUGUGUCUUGUUUGGUAAGUGAUCAAAUCCUAAUGCGAAAAUAAAAAAAUAAUAAGGGGGUGUAGAAAUCAUGCAAUAGUAAUUAAAAAAAUAAAAUUAAGAAUAAAAUUGGAAAUUGCACAAUCAUAUGCAUAUGUAGGAGAAUCAAAAUAUUAAUUCAUGCAAAAUAAAAAUAAAAAUAAAAAUAAAGGAAUCAACUUCAUGUAAAUUUAAAUAAACAAAUAAAUAAAUAAACAAAAAUGUGAAUAUGAGUAUCAAACGCAUGCAAUCAAAAGAAAUGAAAUGCCAAUCUAAUGCAAUCAAUAAUAAUGAAAACCGAAACAUCAAACUCACAUAAUUAAGUAUCAAAAGACCAUCCCAUGCAAUCAAAAGUAAAAAACAGGCCAAUACUCAUCGAAACCUAAAGAACCAAGCAAUCAAGAAAUCAAACCUAAACAAGUGUCCAAGUGACCUUUUCUGAAAAUGCCUAAGUGACCUAGGGUGAAUGUGUGCAAGUAGGAGAGUGUCUAUGAUGUUUAGGACAAUGCCUAAGUCUAAAUUAUGGCUGCCAAGGGUCACAAUGGGGUUAGAUAAAUCUCUUGAUCAGAGUCUCCAAGGUGGCUCAUAAAAGAUAAACUACAUUAGUAAAAAUGGGCCACCAGGGAAUUAUUGUAAAGUACCAAACGAACACAUAAUAGGACAUGUGCUAGAAAGACAACAUGGAGGUUCUACAAAUAUGCCCCUCUUCGGUAGAGAUCAUGAGUGUAGAGAAUGUGAGUUGAAAUACAAAUAAUGAGUGGAACGAAGUGAACUGUACCGAAGAACUAAAAGGAAAAGACCAAAAGUUUUGUCCUAGCACAUGAAGUUGCAAGUCAAAAGAUGGGAUUGCAAUGACAUGGAUGGGAUGACUCUAUGUAGAGGGAUGACAAUGAAGGAAGAAAAGUGUGAUAAAUAGCACAAAGAUGGAAAGGGAUGAAAAGAAUGACUCAAGGUCAUGGAUGGGGAAAAUGACUCUAGGUGAUGGAACUCUAGGCUUUAUAUGCUAUGAAUGACUCUGGAUUGAAAGCUCAAGGCUUUAAAUGCUACGGAUGACUCUAGGUCAGGAGCUCAAGGCUCUAGAUGGUAUGCAUGACUCUGGGUCGUGGAUGAGUAGAACGUCUCUGGGUCGUGAGUUCAGGGCUUUAAAAGCUAUAGAUGACUCCGGGUCGGAAGCUUAGGGAUUUAAAUGAUAUGGAUGACUCUGGGUCAAAAGCUUAGGAUUUUUAAUGCUAUAGAUGACUUUGGGUUGGAUCUCAAGGCUCUAGAUGGCAUGGAUGACUCUAGGUUAGAAGCUUAGGGUUUCAAAUGCUAUAGAUGACUUUGGGUCGGGAGCUCAAGGCUCUAAAUGAUAUGGAUGGCUCUGGGUUGGAAGCUUAGGGUUUUAAAUGCUAUAGAUGAAUCUUGGUUAGGAGCUCAAAGCUUUAGAUGAUAUGGAUGACUCUGUGUCAUGAGCUCAGGGCUCUAAAUGAUAUGGAUGACCAUGGGUCGUAAGCUUAGGGCUCUAAAUGCUAAGGAUGACUCUAGGUCACGGAUGAGAAUGAACAACUUUGGGUUGUGAGCUUACGACUCUAAAUGCUAAGAAUAACUCUGGGUCAUGAAUGAGAAGAACGACUCUGGGUCAGAGCUUAGGGCUCUAAAUGUUAAGAAUGACUCUAGGUCACAAAUAAGAAUAACGACUCAAGGUCACGAAUGAAAAGAACGACUUUGGGUCGUGAGCUUAGGGCUCUAAAUGCUAAGAAUGACUUUGGAUCACGAAUGAAAAGAACGACUUUGGGUCAUGAGCUUAGGGAUCUAAAUGCUAAGAAUGACUCCGGGCCAUAAAUAAGAAUAACAACUCAGGGUCGUGACCUCAGGGCUCUAAAUGGAUAGUCGAUCAUAAUGUUUUCCGGCUUAUGGUGCUAGGUCAAGGCCACUCGCAAGUGGUUAGAAUGGUGAAAACGAAACAUCUCAGGGAUGUGAAGGAUACGAACAACUCCAGGUUGUGAGCUCAAGGCUUGGGAUGCCAUGAAUGACACUAGGUCAUGGAUGAAAUGAGUAACUUCGGGUCACGAUGAAUAGCUCAGGGCCAUGGAUGGCAUGAACGACUCUAGGUCAUGAUGCAAUGAGUAACUCAGGGUUAUGAUGAAUAGCUUAGGGCUAUGAGCUCUAGGCUCUAUGACUGAUCGGUUAGAAGGAGAUUGCGAUACGCAAUCUCUAGGUCAAGCUACUCAUGGGCAACCAAAUGACGAAGGCUCAACUCAGGGCUGGAAAGACUCUGGGUCCUUAGGGAAUGAUAACUUAGGGCUACUAGGCUCAGGGCCUAGAAAGAACGGAUAACUCAAGGCUAUAAGACUCGGGGUCUGGAAGGAAUGGAUAGCUCAAGGCUAUGAGGCUCAGGGCCUAAAAGGAACAGAUAGCUUAAGGCUAUAAGACACGGGGUCUAGAAGGAAUGGAUAGCUCAAGGCUAUGAGGCUUAGGGCCUAAGAGGAGAAGAGCAACUCAGGGCUACAAGACUCAGGGCUUAAAAGGAACAGAUAGCUCAAGGCUAUUAGACUCAAGGUUUAAAAGGAACAGAUAGCUCAAGGCUAUAAGACUCAGGGUCUAGAAGGAAUGGAUAGCUCAGGGCUACGAGGCUCAAGGCCUACAAGGCUCAAGGCCUACAAGGCUCAAGGCCUAAGAGGAGAAGGAUAGAUCAGGGCUAUGAGACUUAGGGCCUAAAAGGAAUAGAUAGCUCAAGGAUAUAUGACUCAAGGUCUAGAAGGAAUGGAUAGCUCAGGGCUAUGAGGCUCAAGGCCUAAGAGGAGAGGGAUAGCUCAGGGCUACAAGACUCAGGGUCUAAAAGGAACAGAUAAAGAAGACCAACUCGAAAGCAAAUAGGAAGUAAAUAGGCUCAAAGUCGUAUACUCAAAAUGCCAAGGGUCGGACUACUAAGCUUAAGAAGGGAAAUAUACCCCAGUAUCUAAGGUGCUCGCACUGCUAAAACUAACCAGUAAAUCAAUCAUUCGCUGAGAUUAAUGGGUUAGAAAUCGAUACAUCAUGACCAACCUCUUAAAAAUCUAAACUGAAAGAACUCUCCGUGUCUCAAAAGCUGCUUUCUCGACAAAUCUCAAAAGGUAAAUCUUAGAGUGUGUACUUCGUGACUCAUCUAAAAGCAAAUCUCAAAGUGCACAAAAUACUGCUCAUCUGGAUAAUCCAAUCCGCAAGAUAACAAUGGCGAAAACAAUCUAUUUCAUUUCAAAAUCUAUACUCCUAAAUUCUCUCAAUUCUAACCAACAUAAUCAUCAACUCCUGAAUUUUGCAUUCCAGCAAUUCAUAAUACCCUAAGACUAAAUAUACAUGUGUGCUUGCCAAAUUAUAUUGGAAGAAGAAUAAAGGUAGUGAAUCCUUUGAGUAAGUUCAACCAUCUACAGUCUUCCAUCAUUAUUUAGUAUGUUGUGAGUUGUGUUAAAUCCUUCACUCCUUUUAUGACAAGGGACAAACUUUAACUCACUUUUUCUACUUUCCUCUUUUACAAAAUGAAAAAGUUUUCCAAUAAUUUUUUUCCAAACUACUUGCAAUAUUUUAGCUCCACAUGCUCACUUCAGGAAUAGCUCAACAAAGUUGGAAUAAGCAAUCUCAACAUAAAAUACACACAUAAAUGUUCACCCUUAUUGACCAUCAAAUACGAUAUUCUGAUAGUCUUUUUGUAGGCUUAAGCUAAUGUUUUUAUUUCAAUUUCCAAAUCCACUUUUAACCUAUAUGAUUUUAUGCUCUACCUCCUAAGAUAUGGAUAUUUAUAAUGAUUAGAACUCUUUCUAUCAAUUUUUUUUAUAGGAUUCUCCAUUAAAUAUGAAACUCCUUGAUCCUUGGAAAGUGAAGAGUAAAGUUUCUUCAAUUAUAGUUGCAGUUUUUCCUGCAGUCAUACAUUGUUGUGUCACUAUGCUAAUUCUUUUGAUGUGCAAUCCACUCCACUUUCCUAGCAUCUCCAACAUAUGCAUAAACUAUAGUUCAAUUUUUAGCUGAAAGCCAUAAGCACCAGUUUUGGCAAGGAGAGAUGACCAUGUAGCAAUAUAAGGAUAUGCAAGUGAAUUCUCUUAAUGCAAAGUUCAAAGCAAUGUGCAAAUGACAUAUCAGUUUUGACACUUUUGCAAAGAACAAUUUAUGUAAUUUCCUGUCCAUGUGUUGGCCAUAUUGCGCCAUGGUUUUCAGAAGUCAUUAGGCCAAACACUCUAUUUAAGUGUCAACUAUCUAUGCUCAAGAUUCUCCUUAGAUUAGGAGAGUAAUUCUUUUGCGGUCAUGAUAUUUUUAAGAGAUGUUUAAUCUAUUAUGUAAACUAUAAUGUCAAUAAAUGCAGAGUAGUUUCAGACAUCCCCAAAGGAGCCAUGUAAUUAUUAAAAAAAAAAAAAGUAAGGGUGAUUGCACUCAACUUCCAGGAUUCAAAUUCUAGCACUGGUUUUUGGCAUAUCAGGAAGUUCUAUAACAGGAAUAUAGCGAAUGAUUGACACAAGAAUGCAGAAUUGAAGAGCCAAAUUACUGAAUCCAUUGAUGGAAAACUGCACCCUAAAUGUUCUUCAUUGUAUCAAAUACUACGUAUUUCCAUUUUGAAGAAGAACCCAUUUAUUUCAGCUACAGGAGAGCGGAAAGAAUCACCUGCUAGUGAGUAUGCCUUGAGGUCCAACACUCACGAACAAGGUGAAUAUGUAAGACAGCCUUGAUGAGAAGAUUGUAUGACAGCGAGAGAGAGCACGCCUGUACACAGUCAUGUUCCUCGCAUGAAUGCUGACUAGCGUGCUCUCUCUCGUUGUCAAGCAAUUACAUGUCACUGCUUGAACUAAUGAUCUGCGGAGCAAGGAAACACAAUAAGAAAAUAUACUAGCAAACAAUUAUUAAACUGAAAAUUUUCCCACAACCAUAGUUUUCUCACAAAGGUGAUGGACAAAGAGGGUAAAGAUGCUUUCUAAUCUCAAAAUGCAAUAAGCUGUCAAAAGCUUGCAAAUUUUCUUUCAGAAAAACAAACACCAUCCCAUUUCUCUUCCCCAACUAUCCACAGCAACCAAAGAGAGCAUAUGAAAGUCCUUGAAAAUUAGUAGGAACACCUUUACCCUCAAAGAGAUCAAGCCCCCUUAUUCAUCUUCGAAGCAGCAAGAGAACAUUCACUAACUCAAAGUCUUUCCUAGCCUCAAAUCUAAAAAAGAUAUCUGAAUCCACAACAAAAGAACAAAUAAUCAGCAACAGCACUUCUAAAAACCCAACAACAAAUGCCUCAGAAUAGAGCCAGAUAACAUGAAAUACAGCAAGCUAACACUCAACUUCAGAAGCCUAACUUUAGCUCUAUUGGAAAAUUGAACUUCGACUUUUCUACUAGGGCGCUAGUCACAAAAAAUGAAGGGGCAAAAGAAAAAACAAAAUACAAAUCUUAACUAGCACCCUAUUUCUCUGUAACUAAUAACAAGCAAGACAAAAGCCAGCACAGAAAAAUAAUCCAAUGAUUAAAUUUCAACACAUAAAAGGAAGUGGUAUCACAUGUAUGAUAACAGCAAAAUAAAAGGAAGUAGUAUCACAUGAAACUUCAAACCAAGCAAGAAUCGCUACCAAAGUAUUAAAACAAUCAUCUGAAACUGCCAGAAGCUUCAACAAUUUUCCACAAUUAUAUAAGUUAAAACAAAUACACAACCCAAAUGGCAGUAUGAAAGCAACAAGGACAUUCUCAAAUUGCAAGUUUUGGAGUCAAUCACAAUUAUCCACCAUAAUGCCUACAAAAACUCGUAUCCAUCCCCUUUGUUCCUGAGAAAAGAAAGUAAAAAACACUAAAAUAAAAUGCUAAAAUCACAUGCUUUAUCCGGGUUGAGCUUCCCAAAAAAGGAAAAGAGAAAAAAAUCAAACAUGAACUAAGCUAACUAGAUGUCGUCACCUCAACUAGGAAAAGAUUCAUUUCCUCUAGGGUCCCGGAGGAUGAAAAACCACCCAAUUUUUCAUUUCUUUUCUUUUCCUUUCCUCCAUUUUCUCCGCAACCAAACACGAUAAAGUAGAGUCAGGCAUGCACUUCAACAGAACAAAAAACAGCACACAAAUCCUGAAAAAACUCAUCAAAGCCACACCAAAACAAAUCAAAUGAACAAAACCAUGCACUCUGAUUCCCAGAUCUACCACCAACAAAACUUUAAACUCAAAACCCAAAACAACACAAAUAAAAAAAAUAAAAAAAAAAACACCCAAAACCCCCCAAAAAGAACAACCAGCAACAAGGACAACAUGAAUUAGAGAGAUUAUCACCUUCAUGAUCACAUAGUACUAACCAUACCUGUGAAGAAGAUUACAGGAGAUUUCAGAGAUACCGGAAAGACCUAGAGAGGAAAUGAAGAGUCAGCGGUAGACAAGACAUUAAAAAAAUUGAAAAAAAAAAUGGAAGGAUAAACGCUAUAAUGAGAGGCGAUGAGGUACCAUUUUCAUAUCCUCCUCUUUUUUCGACCUUUAAGUUGACCGCUCCCGCCUUGCCCGUCGUACAUGUGUCGUCAUCAAUGUCCACAAUUCAUCAACUUGGCCUUCUUGUUGUCUAUGUACCGCGAUGGGUUUAACAACCUAAUGGACCGGCGAGUUAGUCAACAAGAAAACAAAUAAGAGGAAAAAUAUAAUAUUAAUCGAAAAAAAAACCCUUCAAAAAGUGUGUAAACAUAGAUUUAUAUAUUUUCAUAAUAUAAAUCCUAAGUGACUCAAUAGAAAUUUGUACAAUGUAAUGAAUUUAGUACUUUUCUUAUUGAGUGAUAAAGCUUUACCACAAUGACAUAUGAAGAAUAUACUAUACACAAUGCAAAGGCUUUAACCAAAGAGAAAAAUAGGAGAGAAUUUUUCUUGUUUUUUUAUUUAUUUUUUCAUGUAUUAAUGAUAUAUGUUGGUAUUUGAAUAAGUGACUAAUUUUUUGUUAGAUAGAUAGAUGACCUGGUCUACUAGGCUAAAAGAAGAAGUUUUAAAAUAUGAAAAAAGAAUUUGUUAGCCAUAAGACUUUUUUUAAUCGAGUUUUGAUGAUCGCAAAAUAGGUUAAGGUUACUAAUGUUUCAAAUCAAGUUAAUUAUUUCAGGUUCACCCUUGAAAAUUCAAAGAAAACUCAAACAACCUUGAAAAAAGAUCAAUACCAUGAACAUAUGGGAUCCAUGAAGACUUAAAGUAACCUAAAAUUUAUUAUAAAAAUGGUAUUUAUUAAUGCACUUGAGUUUACAUCUUGUUCAUGCAAUUAAAAAUUUUAAAAUCAUCCAUCUUUGAACAUAAAAAGAUUAAAUUUCAUCAAAAUUUGGUUGGUUUCUUGUUUGUAAAUAAAACCUUAAGCCAAAUCCUUUCUAGACUUGUCUUAAAAAUUUUGAAGAUAUUGAACAUAAGUUGUUAGAAGUUUCAUCAGGGUUAUUGAACAUUUUAUAACGUAAGUAGUUAGGGUAGAAAGUAAUUGGUUGAGUUGAUUAGGCUUAAUCGAUCAAGGUACACUUUGCACACUCUACCUCAUCUAGUAACUUAUGCUCAACUAGCAGAGAGUCUAAACCUUAACGGUCACCUACCAAUGCAUGAAAUGCACAACAACUAAUAAAACGGUCGAACCAAUUGCUUUAUGAAUCAAACACUUUUGAGGGUUUAGGCUCCUGAAGAUCCAAAUCUAUAAAUUGAAGUGUUUCAGAGCAUUUAUGAGCAUGAGAACUACUCUAUUCAAUUAAAAAACCUCCAUUUCCUUUCAUUCAAAGCUCAAAGUGCAUUUAAUUCUUAAUUUACAAAUUCCCUCUGUGUGCCUUCAAGUCCUUCCUAAUUUUUUCUUGUAUUGUAAGUCAAAUUUGCCUUAAGGAUUAAAGUUCAAAAAUUCACCCUCAUCUAUGAGAGAAGUUAUUGGCUGAUUAGUUGAAGAGUAGCAAAGGUUUUUGGAACCUUGAAAUCCAACUACAAACAUUGAAGGUUUGUGGUAUAAGUCUUAAAGCCCUUACUUGGUUAAGAGUUUGAGAAUAGUGGAUAAAGGUGAUUUGUUGAACUACUAUAAAAGAGUUUGCAAUCUUCUUCUCCCAAAUUUCCUAUUAUUGAUCUUUAUUUAUUCAUUAUCAUCUCCAUAUAAGGUUACUAUAAUGCUUGCCCUGUAAUAUUGGUUAUUUUGAUUUCUUUUUCAUUUUUAAAAGUUAGGGGAAAAAAGAAAAUAAUGAGAGUUUGCUUUGGUGUAAUAUUUAUAUGGUUGGGAGUGAGUUAUUGGAUGAUAUUUAAGUCAUAAAAUAAAUCAAAAUAAAAAUAUAAAAGAGAAGUAAGGGAAAUGAGAGAAACACUCAAUGAUAUAACCUAUAAAUUUUUUGAAGAGAUAAAAAACUACUGACUAAUCAAAAUUGUAACAUCCACUAUCAAGAAAAUACUGAAUAUAAGGUUUUACCCAAUCUAAAACCUCUAAUCCUCUUUUGGGCAACUAUUUUGAUACCUUAAGAAUCUCAAUCACCCACUAUCUUCAUGUGGAACCCCUUUGAAAGCACUCUAAACACAAUCUUCACCUCUUCUUGAUAUUCACAUACGAAGAUAUUUAGGUUUUAUAUCAAUCGAUAAAAAACAAGAGAAGAGAUGGACAUGAAAAAUCAAUCAACAUAUUUUGUUGAAGAAUUUCUCAUUUAGACAUUUUUUUUUAACUCAAAACCUACAAUUUUCCUAAGAAAUAAACACUUCCCAAUAUAAAAAGUUUUGAAAUUUUAAGAGGCACUACUAACUCUCUUGGCUAUCAAUUUCUAAUAUGAACAUGAGUUUAAAAACUAAAGCUUCAAGUUUAAUCCAAUGGCUGACUACAAAUCUUUGUUGUAAUUAAAAUAUUAAAACCUAAUAUAUGUAAUAACUUUAAUAAAGAAACACUAGAAGUAGGAUUAUCACAUUUUGUAAUAUUUAUUUUUUCAUCAUUUGGGAUCAACACUAAUGUAUCUAUUUGUUUUAGGCUAAAAAUAUUAAUUGCUCGAUCAAACUGAAUAAAAAUCUAAUCUAAAAAAAAUGAUGAAUUUUUUUUAAAUGUUUAAUUAAAUAAAUAAAAUAAAAUAAAGUUUCACAAUCCCUUUUUGAAUCAAUUCGACAAGCAAAGCAUUAUGUAAUCUAGGUUUUAGAAUCAAAAUCUACUUGAGAUUGAAUUUGAAUCUUAAGACCAAUACACAUUUAGAACUAGGUUUUAAAAUAUGGAAAAUGGAUCUCUUACACCAAUUAAAUAUAUUGGUUCACUUAGUUUUAAGUUUAUCCAAUCAAAAUUAAGCUCAUAACCAUCUUGUAGAUUUUGCUAUAGAUUUGUUAAUAAAGGAUUAAAUCAAGUUGAUUUGCAAUCAAGGACUUUACAAGAAUCACCUAGUACCUCGGUAAGAAUCUUUUGUACCUUAUCUAAGAGAACUAACAAAGAGGAUUUUUUAUUCCUGCCGAUUCAAACAUAAAAACAUAAAUAAACCAAAACAAUAAAUUAUUAUUUUUUAAUACUCCUUUGAAUUCUUCACCUUCAUGUGAGAAUCUCCAUAUCACAUAAAAUUAACCAAAAAUGGUGGAGGACUUCUCUAUAAAACCCAUAUUUGGUUGCUAUGAAAAUAGAAUGGAAAGAAUGGAAAAGAAAAAAAAAAAAAUUUAUGAAAAAAAAAGUUGAAAAACACAAGUUCAGUAUCUCUCAUUACAUCUCUAUCCCUUGAAACCUAAGAAUGAAUGAGUUUAAAUAAUAAAGAUCUAACCUAAGGAUAUUUUGCACACCAAGGCUUGUUUGACUUUGAGGUGAGUUGGUGCUUGUAAGGCCUCAAAUUUGAAGUAGGAAAGCUUGGAGGAGCUUUGUUUGAAAUUUGGAAGCUUAGUUCAAUGUUAAAAAGGCCAAUUCCAAUUGGGGGAAGUCUAGUUCAAAAUCACAUGUCAAUUUCGAACUCAACUUUUCCCAUUUUCCACAUUUUUAGUCAUAUCUCCCUUAUUUAAACUUUAAUUCAUGAACCAUUUAAAGCAUUGAAUUUCUGACUUCUUAAUCUUCAAAACCAUAUGUGCCAUGACCUAAAAAAAUCCCUUGGAAAACAUCCCAUAAAUUAGUUCAAAUUCAGGUAUGUAUGCACAUUCUCUUAUUGAGUUUGAAUCUCCAUUUGUGCUUUUAACCACGACUUCAAGCCUUCUCCCUUAUUUUUGCUUGCUUUCUAAAAUCCCUCCAUAACCUUAAGUUUUCACCUAUCAUACUUAUUCCUUGGUCCUCAUGCCUUUUCUUAAGAUCUCCUCAUGCCCCACAAGUCUCAAAUCUCAUUUUGAAUAGUUGAUUGAUCCUCUUUCUCUAUCUUGGUUGAAGAUCACUUUUUCACUUUGCAUUCUUUUCAUCUCUUUACCUUGAAAUUAAAUUCAAAAUAUUUAUUAGAUCCAUAUCUAUGGUCUUAACACCAAUUCAAGUUAAAUUGAGUGAUUUAAACCUUUUUUUUAUUACAUACAUUCAAUUAUUUAUUUGUGAUUGGAGCACAUAUUUGGGCUCCAAUCAUCCUAGUUGAACUUUGCUAGUUCUUAGAAAAUUAAAAGAAAAUAUAACGUGUAUUGCAAUUCAUUUUAGCAUAGUAACUUAACAUAAUAUCCUUCACACAAUCUACUUAAGUAAUCAAUUUUCCUUGGAAUUGAGAACGAAAGCACAAGAUAAGUCAUUUCCUAGCUUUCUCAUCUUAUUCGCUUAUACAUAGAUAUGCAUCCAUGUUUAGCAUCUAUUUUAGUACCCCUUGGAUUUUGUUUGAAUAGUUUCUUCUCACCUUUUACAGUCAUAUUGUGUAUUUAUGUUGUGACAAACAAACUCUACAUUGAUUACGUAAUAGCUAGACAUUCAUAUGGCCAGUGAUGGAUAACAAUUUAGGGAACAUGAUUCUAUCUAAUGAAGAAGCUAUAAAAAUAAAGCGAUGCUCUCCAAAAAGCAGGUGAACACAUUUGCGCGUCUAUCUAUUGACCCUUUUAUUUCUCUAUAACUAACUUGAUUGUCAGAGAGCAGUAAACCUAACCAACCUAACUUGAUUAUCAAAAAGCACUUUUAAGACACUUUUUUUUUUUAAUUCAAUUAUUAACUAUUUUUUUGUAAAAACAUAUAUAAUGGAAAUGUUGCUAAAAGCAGGUUUGGGAGUGGUUCUAAUUAAAGCAUUUUUAAUAUUUACGGCUUUUGUUACUAAUGCUUCUAUUAGAAAUUCUUUUAAGGAAGAUCUCUUACUGUUUGGAUAUAAAUAAAAAAAGUGCUUUGAUAAUAUUUGUAGUAAUACUUCAUAUAACAAAAAAUAAGGUGUUUACUUAAGAAUUACUUCAAGUGAUUAUCAAAAUUUUUCCAAAUACCUAAUAUAUGUCGGAAAAUGCUUCUAAGCAUUAUGAAAUAUUUCUAAUCCUGUCAAAAAGAACAUCCACAAACCCAAAGUCUUUCUAGACUCAAAUUCACAAAUGAUAUAUGUAUCAACAACAAAAGAAUAAAAAUAAGUACUGAACAAAUGUAGACAAUCAGUAAAGCCCAAUGACACCCAGAUUUUUCCAGCAAGAAAUUCCAAAUAAUAAACAGAUUGCUCAUCAAUAAAGAGUUUAACCAAAUCAUCACUGUUUGCAAAAAAAAUUUCUAAGGAGCAACAGCACACUUCCAAAAUGAUACCACUCCAAAUGCAUGGACAGACAGCACAAUGGGCUUAACAAUGAAUUUCAGAAGCCUUGUUUUAGCUCUCUCUUUUGGAAAAUCGAACUUCAACUUUUCUACUAGAGGGAAAAAAAAUGAAGAAAAAGAACAUACAAACCUUAACUUUAAUAUGCAUGGUAAGACUGAACUAUGAGAUGAAUCUUUCCCAAAUAAGCAUAUGAUUGAACAGUUAAGCUUCAUAUCUUGGUUUAUCAAAGUAUAGACAGAAUUUGAAGGUAAAAAAUUUAAAUUGGAUAUAUAAUAUCAUUGAUUUCAAAAACAAGCAAGACAGAAGAUAGAUCUCUGAACCAUGAAACCUAAAAUCUAGCAAGAACCAUUACCAAAAGAUUAAAACAACCAUCUGAAACAUGCCAGAGGCUUCAAUAAAAUUAUCUACAUUUGUGGAUUUUAAACAAAUACACAACCCAAAUAUUGGUAUAAAAGCAACAAAGAUAUUAAACUGCAAGUUUAUCCAUCACUCUCAUUAAAAAUGUGGACCUAGGACAUUCACUCACUAAAAAAUGCCACUGGGAGCAAACCCAACAUCUUCCAAGUAUGAAAUCUGAAAACACGGCCUGAAUCAUCAGCAUGACAAAUUACAAAGCACAAUAACUAGCUCAAACUCCAUAAGAAAAUGUCAUUUACCAUAAUACCAAGAAAACUCUAACCCUCUGUCUGGUUGCUGAGAGCAUUAAGUAAAACACAUGAAAAUAAAAUGCUAAACGACAUGUUUUACUCCGUUUUAGUUUCACAAAAAGCAAACAAAACAUGAUGUAGUCACCUCACCUAUGAAAGGAUAUAUGAUUCAUUUCCUCCCAGGUUCCUAACCAUGAAAAACCACUCAUAAAUAAUCAGAUUCUUUUUUCCUUUUCCUUUCCUCCAUUUUUCUCUGCAACCAAAUACAACUAAGUAGACUCAGGCAUGCACUUCAACAGAACAAAGCACAACUAUGGAAAUCUGGGGAAUUCACAACUACACACUCUGACUCCCAGAUCUACCACGAACAAAAAUUCAAACUGAAAACAUAAAAAAGAAAAGAAAAACAAUGCCAAAGAUAAAAAGAAUUAAGAAUAUCAUCACCUUCAUGAUUGUUUUCAGUUUGUUCUUGUGUAUCUUUUGUUUGUUUUAUUGCUAAUUUAGUGGAUCUUUUGUGUUUGAGUCAUUUUCCAGUUUGUUAGUAGAGUUAAUAUUCAGCUAGAUUAUUGUUCUAGGCAGUAGUUAGGGUGUCUUGAGGGAAAAUCAAGGCCUCACCUUAGAUUUUUCUAACCUCAUUGAUAAGCAUAGUCCUAGUUAGCUUAUUAGCAACUUCUAUUACCUUAUAAAAUGAAGCUGAGUAGGGAUGUACAAGGAGUAAGGGACAGUUCUUGAACACCGAAGGGUUCUACAUUCCUUUCUCGCAUACACUCUGCACAAUACUUCUUGGUUUUAAGGUGCAGAGUUAGACUUUUAACAGACAUGAAAGACUCCAAAUAAGCCACAUUUAAUCUUAGGAAUUGAAUAAGAUGCUACUCAGGUUCAAAGAGAGUGUCAAGGUCUCUUCUGCUAAGGUGAUAGUCGAGGUUCAACAAUGUUUUCCCAAAAAUAUUUU
rnacentral:lncRNA from 1 species